GACGAACGCUGGCGGCGUGCCUAAUACAUGCAAGUUGAGCGCUGAAGGUUGGUACUUGUACCAACUGGAUGAGCAGCGAACGGGUGAGUAACGCGUGGGGAAUCUGCCUUUGAGCGGGGGACAACAUUUGGAAACGAAUGCUAAUACCGCAUAAAAACUUUAAACACAAGUUUUAAGUUUGAAAGAUGCAAUUGCAUCACUCAAAGAUGAUCCCGCGUUGUAUUAGCUAGUUGGUGAGGUAAAGGCUCACCAAGGCGAUGAUACAUAGCCGACCUGAGAGGGUGAUCGGCCACAUUGGGACUGAGACACGGCCCAAACUCCUACGGGAGGCAGCAGUAGGGAAUCUUCGGCAAGGGACGAAAGUCUAACCGAGCAACGCCGCGUGAGUGAAGAAGGUUUUCGGAUCGUAAAACUCUGUUGGUAGAGAAGAACGUUGGUGAGAGUGGAAAGCUCAUCAAGUGACGGUAACUACCCAGAAAGGGACGGCUAACUACGUG
rnacentral:rRNA from 1 species